GUAUUGUCUUAGUAGCGGCGAGUGAAGCGGCAAAAGCUCAAAUUUGAAAUCUGGCGCCUUCGGUGUCCGAGUUGUAAUUUGAAGAUUGUAACCUUGGGGUUGGCUCUUGUCUAUGUUUCUUGGAACAGGACGUCACAGAGGGUGAGAAUCCCGUGCGAUGAGAUGCCCAAUUCUAUGUAAGGUGCUUUCGAAGAGUCGAGUUGUUUGGGAAUGCAGCUCUAAGUGGGUGGUAAAUUCCAUCUAAAGCUAAAUAUUGGCGAGAGACCGAUAGCGAACAAGUACAGUGAUGGAAAGAUGAAAAGAACUUUGAAAAGAGAGUGAAAAAGUACGUGAAAUUGUUGAAAGGGAAGGGUUUGAGAUCAGACUCGAUAUUUUGUGAGCCUUGCCUUCGUGGCGGGGUGACCCGCAGCUUAUCGGGCCAGCAUCGGUUUGGGCGGUAGGAUAAUGGCGUAGGAAUGUGACUUUACUUCGGUGAAGUGUUAUAGCCUGCGUUGAUGCUGCCUGCCUAGACCGAGGACUGCGAUUUUAUCAAGGAUGCUGGCAUAAUGAUCCCAAACCGCCCGUCUUGAACCACGGACUU
rnacentral:rRNA from 1 species